GCCGCAGUAGCUCAGUGGUAGAGCACCUCCUUGGUAAGGAGGGGGUUCGCGAGUUCAAUCCUCGCCUGCGGCU
rnacentral:tRNA from 1 species